GGGUGAGUAAUAUAUAGGUAACAUGCCUCUUACUAAGGGAUAACAGAUGGAAACGUCUGCUAAUACCUUAUAUGCCUUUUGAGCAAAAGUUCGUAAAGGGAAAGAUUUAUUGGUAAGAGAUUGGCUUGUACGGUAUCAGUUAGUUGGUGAGGUAAUGGCUCACCAAGACAAUGACACCUAACUGGUUUGAGAGGAUGAUCAGUCACACUGGAACUGAGACACGGUCCAGACUCCUACGGGAGGCAGCAGUGGGGAAUAUUGCACAAUGGACGGAAGUCUGAUGCAGCAACGCCGCGUGGAGGAUGACACAUUUCGGUGCGUAAACUCCUUUUAUACAAGAAGAUAAUGACGGUAUUGUAUGAAUAAGCGCCGGCUAACUCCGUGCCAGCAGCCGCGGUAAUACGGAGGGCGCAAGCGUUACUCGGAAUCACUGGGCGUAAAGAGCGUGUAGGCGGGUUGAUAAGUUAGAAGUGAAAUCCAAUAGCUUAACUAUUGAACUGCUUUGGAAACUGUUGAUCUAGAGUGUGGGAGAGGUAGAUGGAAUUUCUGGUGUAGGGGUAAAAUCCGUAGAUAUCAGAAGGAAUACCGAUUGCGAAGGCGAUCUACUGGAACACAACUGACGCUGAGACGCGAAAGCGUGGGUAGCAAACGGGAUUAGAUACCCCGGUAGUCCACGCCCUAAACGAUGUACACUAGUUGUUGCCUUGUUAGACAAGGCAGUAAUGCACCUAACGGAUUAAGUGUACCGCCUGGGGAGUACGGUCGCAAGAUUAAAACUCAAAGGAA
rnacentral:rRNA from 1 species